rnacentral:rRNA from 1 species
UUCCUACGGGACGCAGCAGUGAGGAAUAUUGGUCAAUGGGCGAGAGCCUGAACCAGCCAAGUCGCGUGAAGGAUGACGGCCCUACGGGUUGUAAACUUCUUUUGUCAGGGAGCAAUUGGGUCCACGUGUGGGCUUAGCGAGAGUACCUGAAGAAAAAGCAUCGGCUAACUCCGUGCCAGCAGCCGCGGUAAUACGGAGGUGGCGAGCGUUGUCCGGAUUUACUGGGCGUAAAGGGAGCGUAGGCGGACUUUUAAGUGAGAUGUGAAAUACUCGGGCUCAACUUGAGUGCUGCAUUUCAAACUGGA